rnacentral:rRNA from 1 species
UGAACGCUAGCUACAGGCUUAACACAUGCAAGUCGAGGGGCAGCAUGGUCUUAGCUUGCUAAGGCCGAUGGCGACCGGCGCACGGGUGAGUAACACGUAUCCAACCUGCCGUCUACUCUUGGACAGCCUUCUGAAAGGAAGAUUAAUACAAGAUGGCAUCAUGAGUCCGCAUGUUCACGUGAUUAAAGGUAUUCCGGUAGACGAUGGGGAUGCGUUCCAUUAGAUAGUAGGCGGGGUAACGGCCCACCUAGUCUUCGAUGGACAGGGGUUCUGAGAGGAAGGUCCCCCACAUUGGAACUGAGACACGGUCCAAACUCCUACGGGAGGCAGCAGUGAGGAAUAUUGGUCAAUGGGCGAGAGCCUGAACCAGCCAAGUAGCGUGGAGGAUGACUGCCCUAUGGGUUGUAAACUUCUUUUAUAAAGGAAUAAAGUCGGGUAUGGAUACCCGUUUGCAUGUACUUUAUGAAUAAGGAUCGGCUAACUCCGUGCCAGCAGCCGCGGUAAUACGGAGGAUCCGAGCGUUAUCCGGAUUUAUUGGGUUUAAAGGGAGCGUAGAUGGAUGUUUAAGUCAGUUGUGAAAGUUUGCGGCUCAACCGUAAAAUUGCAGUUGAUACUGGAUAUCUUGAGUGCAGUUGAGGCAGGCGGAAUUCGUGGUGUAGCGGUGAAAUGCUUAGAUAUCACGAAGAACUCCGAUUGCGAAGGCAGCCUGCUAAGCUGCAACUGACAUU